GAUGAAGGCCUUCGGGUCGUAAAACUCUGUCCUCAAGGAAGAUAAUGACGGUACUUGAGGAGGAAGCCCCGGCUAACUACGUGCCAGCAGCCGCGGUAAUACGUAGGGGGCUAGCGUUAUCCGGAUUUACUGGGCGUAAAGGGUGCGUAGGCGGUCUUUCAAGUCAGGAGUGAAAGGCUACGGCUCAACCGUAGUAAGCUCUUGAAACUGGGAGACUUGAGUGCAGGAGAGGAGAGUGGAAUUCCUAGUGUAGCGGUGAAAUGCGUAGAUAUUAGGAGGAACACCAGUUGCGAAGGCGGCUCUCUGGACUGUAACUGACGCUGAGGC
rnacentral:rRNA from 1 species